GAUGAACGCUGGCGGCGUGCUUAACACAUGCAAGUCGAACGAAGCACCUCUCCCGAAGAUUGACACAGCUUGCUGUAGAUUGAUUCAUUUGAGGUGACUGAGUGGCGGACGGGUGAGUAACGCGCGGGUAACCUGCCUCAUAGAGGGGGACAACAGUUGGAAACGACUGCUAAUACCGCAUAGUAAGAAGAAUUCGCAUGUUUUCUUCUUGAAAGAUUUAUCGCUAUGAGAUGGACCCGCGUCUGAUUAGCUAGUUGGUAAGGUAACGGCUUACCAAGGCGACGAUCAGUAGCCGGCUUGAGAGAGUGAACGGCCACAUUGGGACUGAGACACGGCCCAAACUCCUACGGGAAGCAGCAGUGGGGAAUAUUGCACAAUGGGGGAAACCCUGAUGCAGCGACGCCGCGUGAGUGAAGAAGUAUUUCGGUAUGUAAAGCUCUAUCAGCAGGGAAGAUAAUGACGGUACCUGACUAAGAAGCCCCGGCUAACUACGUG
rnacentral:rRNA from 1 species